rnacentral:rRNA from 1 species
GACGUAGGGCGCAAGCGUUGUCCGGAUUUAUUGGGCGUAAAGAGCUCGUAGGCGGACUGUCACGUCUGCUGUGAAAAGCUGGGGCUUAACCCUGGCCUUGCAGUGGAUACGGGCAGACUAGAGGUAGGUAGGGGAGAAUGGAAUUCCCGGUGUAGCGGUGAAAUGCGCAGAUAUCGGGAGGAACACCGGUGGCGAAGGCGGUUCUCUGGGCCUUACCUGACGCUGAGGAGCGAAAGCGUGGGGAGCGAACAGG